rnacentral:tRNA from 1 species
AUCUAAUUGGCAGAUUAAGUGCAUUAAGUUUAAGUCUUAAAUAUAAAUAAAAAUUAAUUAAUA